rnacentral:rRNA from 1 species
GACGAACGCUGGCGGCGUGCUUAACACAUGCAAGUCGAACGGAAAGGCCCUGCUUUUGUGGGGUGCUCGAGUGGCGAACGGGUGAGUAACACGUGAGUAACCUGCCCUUGACUUUGGGAUAACUUCAGGAAACUGGGGCUAAUACCGGAUAGGAGCUCCUGCUGCAUGGUGGGGGUUGGAAAGUUUCGGCGGUUGGGGAUGGACUCGCGGCUUAUCAGCUUGUUGGUGGGGUAGUGGCUUACCAAGGCUUUGACGGGUAGCCGGCCUGAGAGGGUGACCGGCCACGUUGGGACUGAGAUACGGCCCAGACUCCUACGGGAGGUAGCAGUGGGGAAUAUUGCACAAUGGGCGGAAGCCUGAUGCAGCAACGCCGCGUGCGGGAUGACGGCCUUCGGGUUGUAAACCGCUUUCGCCUGUGACGAAGCGUGAGUGACGGUAAUGGGUAAAGAAGCACCGGCUAACUACGUG